ACACUCCUGCGGGAGGCAGCAGUAGGGAAUCUUCCACAAUGGGUGCAAACCUGAUGGAGCAAUGCCGCGUGAGUGAAGAAGGUCUUCGGAUCGUAAAGCUCUGUUGUUAGAGAAGAACACGUGCUAGGUAACUACUAGCGCCUUGACGGUAUCUAACCAGAAAGUCACGGCUAACUACGUGCCAGCAGCCGCGGUAAUACGUAGGUGACAAGCGUUGUCCGGAUUUAUUGGGCGUAAAGGGAGCGCAGGCGGUCUGUUUAGUCUAAUGUGAAAGCCCACGGCUUAACCGUGGAACGGCAUUGGAAACUGACAGAAUUGAAUGUAGAAGAGGAAAAUGGAAUUCCAAGUGUAGCGGUGGAAUGCGUAGAUAUUUGGAGGAACACCAGUGGCGAAGGCGAUUUUCUGGUCUAACAUUGACGCUGAGGCUCGAAAGCGUGGGGAGCGAACAGGAUUAGAUACCCCGGUAGUCCCAUG
rnacentral:rRNA from 1 species